rnacentral:rRNA from 1 species
UCAAAGAUUAAGCCAUGCAUGUCUCAGUAUAAGCAACUUGUACGUGUGAAACUGCGAAUGGCUCAUUAAAUCAGUUAUAAUUUAUUUGAUAGUGGUCUUACUACAAGGAUAGCCGUAGUAAUUCUAGAGCUAAUACAUGCAAGAAGACCCGACUCGUGAGGGAAGGGUUGUGUUUAUUAGAUCGAAAACCAAUGCAGGGUGUUUGGGGUGAUGCAAAUCAUUUCCAGGUGCCUCGAAUAUAUGGUGAGUCAUGAUAAAUGUCGAAUCGAAUUAUGUUCGAUGUGUCAUUCAAAUUUCUGCCCUAUCAACUUGUUGGUAGGAUAGAGGCCUACCAUGGUUUUGACGGGUAACGGAGGAUUAGGGUUCGAUUCCGGAGAGGGAGCCUGAGAAAUGGCUACUACUUCUAAGGAAGGCAGCAGGCGCGCAAAUUACCCAAUCCCAAUCAUAUUGGGGAGGUAGUGACAAAAAAUACCGAUGCUGGAUCUUAUAGGUUCAGUAAUUGGAAUGGUGUGGAAGCAAAUUGUCCAUAGAGCAGCCAUUAGAGGGCAAGUCUGGUGCCAGCAGCCGCGGUAAUUCCAGCUCUAAUAGUGUAUACUAAAAUUGCUGCAGUUAAAAAGCUCGUAGUUGGAUUUUGGAUGGAACAAGAUACCUUUAUGUUUUUGCUGUGCAUAUUUGUUAUGUGUUUUGCCUGUAUCUUGAGGCGGCAUAUGACGUAUGUAUGGUCGUAAAGGUUGUUUCGUCCCUGUCGCAAGACAUUUUUUCGAAGGUACGCAGUCCCCUUAACUGGGCGAUUGCGUAAUUUCGGAGGGUUUACUUUGAAGAAAUUGUAGUGUUUAAAGCAGGCGUUUCGCAGCUGAACACAUUAGCAUGGAAUAAUAAAAUAGGACAUCUGAGUUGGGUACUUGCCCUUUUUUCCCGCCGGUAAUCUUCCGGGUAUGGUCGCGUCUGUUUUCUUUCCCUUCUUUUUCAUGGGUUGUUUUCCGACUUCUUAUGAGGAGGGGGGUGGGGGGGCAGGUGUCUUGAUCAUGCCUGAGAUUGCUUGGUUUUUGAAAGGGUGGGGGAGAGAGGCCCAGCUAUCAUUUAGUAUAUCUAUUUUGUUGGUUUAUGGAGAAGGUGUAAUGAUUAAUAGGGACAGUUGGGGGCAUCCGUAUUGCAUUGUCAGAGGUGAAAUUCUUGGAUUUAUGCAAGACGAACUAGUGCGAAAGCAUUUGCCAAGGAUGUUUUCAUUAAUCAAGAACGAAAGUUAGGGGAUCGAAGGCGAUCAGAAACCGCCGUAGUCUUAACUAUAAACUAUACCAACUAGGGAUUGGAGAGUUGUCUUAAAAUGGCCUCGUCAGCACCUUUAGAGAAAUCAAAGUCUCUGGGUUCUGGGGGGAGUAUGGUCGCAAGGCUGAAACUUAAAGAAAUUGGCGGAAGGGCACCACCAGGUGUGGAGCCUGCGGCUUAAUUCGACUCAACACGGGGAAACUCACCAGGUCCAGACACGGGAAGGAUUGACAGAUUGAUAGCUCUUUCUUGAUUCUGUGGGUGGUGGUGCAUGGUCGUUCUUAGUUGGUGGAGUGAUUUGUCUGGUUAAUUCCGAUAACGAACGAGACCUUAACCUGCUAAAUAGCUCAGUUUCAAAAUUUUGUUUUGAGACUAGUGGCGUAUGGCUCGCAAGGGUUAUGCGUUAGGAGCUUCUUAGAGGGACUACCAUGGUUGCACAUGGUGGAAGCUUGAGGCAAUAACAGGUCUGUGAUGCCCUUAGAUGUCCUGGGCCGCACGCGCGCUACAAUGAUGCAUUCAACAAGGUUGUGCUUGCCCGAAAGGGUCGGCUAAUCUUUUCAAACUGCAUCGUACUGGGGAUUGAUCUUUGUAAUUUUGGAUCAUGAACUAGGAAUACCUAGUAAGUGCAUGUCAUCAGCAUGCGCUGAUUACGUCCCUGCCCUUUGCACACACCGCCCGUCGCUCCUACCGAUUGAAUGAUCAGAUGAAAUGCCCGGAUGCGUGGCGCGCUGCUCCUCGGGGUGGUGCGCCGUGCAGAAGAGUAGUAAAUCUUAUUAUUUAGA